rnacentral:lncRNA from 10 species
AAUGCUGGCUAUGAUCUUUUUGAGGUCCACUGAGCAACGCAAUAUUCUCCUUGGGUUAAAUUUGUGUUACAUUUAUCUGAAUCGAUUGAAAUUCAAGAAACUAUAGGCAAAAAAGUAUUUAAUACUCAGUGCAGAAAAAUUAAAACAGCAAAGUCAAAAGGCAAAAAUAAAAAUAAAAAUAAGCCGCAGUCUCCUCAGUGAGCAGCAGCACCGUAACAAGACAAUGCAUUCAGGCUUUCCUGAUGCUUCUAUAUAAACAGGUCGACAGUCUCUCAUCUGUAAUUCCCCCAGGCAAAAAUCCCUGGAACCACAAGGUUGUUUUGUUUUUGUGUUUGUUUUCCAAGUUUGUAGUGAAUUUAUUUGGCUGCACCACCUGAUCCAAACUGAUGUGGU